rnacentral:lncRNA from 1 species
ACACGACAAGCGUGCGUGUGCUCACCAGGCUGUCCACUAAGGCCUAGUCAACCAGUAUUCAUUUAUUUGAUACCUACUGUGUGCCAAGUGCCAGGAUACAAAGACAAAUCUUUCCUACCUCCAAGAGACCUACACUCUAUUGAAGUAAACAACACGUGCAUCUAUAAAUAUACAAAAAAAUACAGACCUGUGAUUUCAUCUGGCUAGGGAAAUCGUGGGUAAGGAAACGCCCUCUCAGACAAUACAGGCUGCCACCUCUGCUGGUUAGAAAGCUGUCCAGAGGGCAAGCUAGGUGGUACAGUGAAUACAGUGCCAAGCCUGGCGUCAAGAGGACGUGGGUUCCAAAGUGACCUCAGACACUUCUUAGCUGUGUGACCCUUCAAGUCACUCAACUGUGAUUGCCUAGCUCUCGCCACCCUUUUGUCUUAGAAUCGAUACUAAGACGGAAGAUAAGGGGUUGGGGGUGGGAGUGGGGGCGACAGAGGGAGAGAAAAAGAAGAAGAAAAUAAAGAGAGAAAGAGGAAGAAAGAGGAAGGGAGAGAGAGAGAGAAAGGAAAGAAAGAAAGAAAGAAAGAAAGAAAGAAAGAAAGAAAGAAAGAGGAAGGGAGAGAGAGAGAGAGAGAGUAAGAAAGAAAGAAAGAAAGAGAGAGAGAGAGAGAGAGAGAGAGAGAGAGAGAGAGAGAGAGAGAGAGAGAGAGAGAGAGAGAGAGAGAGAGGAGGGAGGGAGGGAGGGAGGGAGGAAGGAGGAGGAAGGAAGGAAGGAAGGAAGGAAGGAAGGAAGGAAGGAAGGAAGGAAGGAAGGAAGGAAGGAAGGAAGGAAGGAAGGAAGGAAGGAAGGAAGGAAGGAAGGAAGGAAGGAAGGAAGGAAGGAAGGAAGAAGGAAGAAGUAAGGAAGGAAGGAAGAAAUACUAUUCUUAGUCCUAUAGGUUUCCAAGGGAAAGGAUUUCACAGCCUCCUGCUGCCUCAGUCACCUCACCACCCCUGCCCACAGGCCACCCUUUCCCACAUAUCUCCUUCUCUGGAAACUGGAUUGGGGGGUGGGAACUCACAGAACCCAUAAAAGUAAAAAUGGAUUUUGAAAGACUCAAGAACCCUAAUCAAUGCAGCAGCCAACUGCAAUUCCAGAGGGCCAGUGAUGACGUGCUCCCCACCUCCUGACAGAUAGCUGACAGGUACAGAAUACAAAAUGAGAUAUACAUUUGUGGGGGGGACACAAUGCAGGAAUUUGUUCAAUUCAAUUAUGCAUAUUUGUUACAAGGGUUUUAUUUUGCUUUUUUAAUAGAGAAAACAGAAAAUAGAUUUUUGUACAUUGAAAAAGGCAAAAUAAAAUUUUAAAAGUAAAUUAAAACA